rnacentral:siRNA from 1 species
UGAUGAGGAGCCUUAUAUUCUUUU